AAAGAAAAAGCUCGUAGCACUGAGUCGCUCAUCCAAGCAUCAGGUAGUUCGCCUCUGAAUCGACAGCCUUCUUCGCCAUGCUUAUUGGUGCCCAAAGACAAGUGGAGAAGACGGCAACCUAUGCCUUGCCAAAUGGAUGUCGGCACUGAACCACAUCGUGGACAUCCAUGAGCAUGACGAUCCUGCCUAUCCAGUGUGCUACCACGGUGCUACUUCAGAGCCACGGGAAUGGCUUAAAGAAGACAGCGAAACGUACAGGAAAGUCGUGGACAUCCCAGAGGCCCCUGCACUCUAGAAAGAUGCCCCACUGCUGUCCUCACAGCACCAGACAUAUGGCCUGGAAGCAUUCCACAGUGUCCUCAUCCAUUUUGUUCCCAAACCUCAUUCAUUCAGUGAUGAGGCAAUGUUGGCAAGGACACAGUUAUCAGUGAUGCACUACAACUAGAAUGCUGACAGGGUCCAAAUCGAAAAGGAAGGGUCGAAACAGUAUCGACUGAAGCCCUCAAAAGUCAAGAAGGCCUGGGUUGCUGUACCACUCAAGGAGGACGCUACGUAUGGUACGUGACUGAUACAACAUUGUCUUUGGCAUGCAGGGUCGCAUUAUGCGAGAUACACAUUUCGUACAGGAGUGAAA